GUGGGUGUAGUUCAAAGGAAGAAUAUCUCCUCUUUAAGGAGAAGACCCUUGGUUCGAUACCAGGCGCCCACC